GAUGAAGAACGAAGCGAAAUGCGAUAAGUAAUGUGAAUUGCAGAAUUCAGUGAAUCAUCGAAUCUUUGAACGCACCUUGCGCCCUUUGGCUAUUCCGAAGGGCAUGCCUGUUUGAGUAUCGUGAACACCUCAACUCUCAUGGUUUGCCAUGAUGAGCUUGGACUUUGGGGGUUUUGCUGGCCUUUGGUCGGCUCCUCUCAAACGGAUCAGCUUUCCAGUGUUUGGUGGCGUCACGGGUGUGAUAACUAUCUACGCCUGUGGUUUUCUGCCAGAUAACCUUCAGCGAUGGAGGUUCGCUGGGGCUCAUAAAUGUCUCUCUUCAGUGGAGACAGCUUUUUGGACGUUUGAUCUCAAAUCAGGGAGGACUACCCGCUGAACUUAAGCAUAUCAAUAAGCGGAGGA
rnacentral:misc_RNA from 1 species